AGCAGCCGGAGAGGCAGGAGCUCCGGGAGUGAGGAUGCGGAGAGGAGCCUAGUAGCAAGUAAGUCCUGCUGCUUUCUAAUCCUUGCCUGAUUGUUCUUUCAAGGAAACGUCCCUGCUGGGAGACACUGGUAGUGGAGGAACUGCAAACUCCCUAUGGCCAGACACAACCUACACAGUCCUAUAUAGUACCCCCAGUUGAGGGAGGUUUGGAUGAAUAGCUGUGAACUCCUCAAGCAGCUCCAUCUGGGAAACAAUGAAUUCCCCCCUCCUCAGAGCUUCUGAACUAUUUCCUACAGCACCAGCUGCUGGGAAAGUUUAUCUGAAUAUGAGGUUCCUGGUUGAAUCCCAUUUGUAGAUGGAGAGAAACCCUAGGCACAACAUUCAGGAAAUAAGCUUCCUCAAAAUUCAUGGUACCUGAGAAUCAAGUUUUCAGUUCAGGCCCACUUUAUGUAGCAUCUGUAGCUUUAUUGAUACGCUCCUUUAGCAUAGUCCUUUCUCACCUACUUCACUGAGAUCCUAAUCACAAACACAUUUUUUCUUUUACAGCUGCUCCAUGGAGCACCAUCGCAAUUCUGUAUCCAGUUAAUAUUUGGCCCUGAGUAGAAUAACAUAUGCUUCAUAAAAGAGUUACCCAGGUGUUUUUGGCCAUGCUUUAUUCCUAGGAUUUCUUGACUAAGGUCAGUGGACUCACAGCAAGGUUCUUGUAUUUGUACACAUUAGUCCAUAGCUACAGGUUCCCAAUGAAUAAGAAAUGAAUACCUAAAUUGUAAAACACAUUUUCUUCUCCUGUCCCUUUAAUGAAAGAGAAAAAGGUACAUUCAUCUGAUUUUUAAGUUACUUUUCAUGCAUAUAGUUGUUGGUCCAAUGCAGAGAAUACCCUUCCAUGGGAAAAAUAAUAGCUUUAAAGUCUUUCCCCCACAGUUAACUAAAAUGUGUAUAGUAUGGUGGAUAACUCAACCGCUUAGUAAUGUCUAAAGUAUUAUGUUCAAAUCCUGUUAAAGUUGUAGUUAUUCAAUAUUUCAAUUAACUCUU